rnacentral:rRNA from 1 species
GAUGAACGCUGGCGGCGUGCCUAAUACAUGCAAGUAGAACGCUGAAGGGGGAGCUUGCUCUUCUGGAUGAGUUGCGAACGGGUGAGUAGCGCGUAGGUAACCUGCCUGGUAGGGGGGGCUAAGUAUUGGAAACGCUAGCUACUACCGCAUGACAACAGUUAUUGCAUUUUAUCUAAUUAAAAGUGGCAACUGCUCCACUUCCAGCUGAACCUGCGUUGUAUUAUGUAAUUGGUGACGUAAGGGCUCACCACGGCCACGUAACAUAGCAGACCUGAGAGGGGGAUCGGCCACCCUGGGACUGGGAGAUGGCCCAGAAUCCUACGGGAGGCAGCAGUAGGGAAUCUUCGGGAAUGGACGGAAGUCUGAACGAGGAACGCCGCGUGAGUGAAGAACGUUUUCGGAUCGUAAAGCUCUGUUGGCAGUGAAGAACGAGUGUGAGAGUGGAAAGUUCACACUGUGACGGUAUCUUACCAGAAAGGGACGGCUAACUACGUG